AAAAUAUAUGUUUUUAUUAGUUUUUUUAGUUAUUUUGGUGAUACAGUUAACAAGACAUAACGGACAGAAAACCCCCCCAACACCAAAUAAAGAAAAAAAAAAAUCAAACAAAUAAACAAACAGCAACAACAAAGAUAAUGACAAACAACAACAAUGACAACAUCAUC